rnacentral:rRNA from 1 species
GGCGGGAUGCCAAGUCAGCGGUAAAAAUGCGGUGCUCAACGCCGUCGAGCCGUUGAAACUGGCGUUCUUGAGUGGGCGAGAAGUAUGCGGAAUGCGUGGUGUAGCGGUGAAAUGCAUAGAUAUCACGCAGAACUCCGAUUGCGAAGGCAGCAUACCGGCGCCCUACUGACGCUGAGGCACGAAAGCGUGGGUAUCGAACAGGAUUAGAUACCCUGGUAGUCCACGCAGUAAACGAUGAAUGCUAACUGUCCGGUGCGAGUGAGCGCUGGGCGGUACAGCGAAAGCGUUAAGCAUUCCACCUGGGGAGUACGCCAGCAACGGUGAAACUCAAAGGAAUUGACGGGGGCCCGCACAAGCGGAGGAACAUGUGGUUUAAUUCGAUGAUACGCGAGGAACCUUACCCGGGCUCAAACGCAGGAUGACGGGUCCCGAAAGGGGCCUUUCUUCGGACAUUCUGCGAGGUGCUGCAUGGUUGUCGUCAGCUCGUGCCGUGAGGUGUCGGCUUAAGUGCCAUAACGAGCGCAACCCCUGUCCACAGUUGCCAGCAGGUAAAGCUGGGGACUCUGUGGAGACUGCCGGCGCAAGCUGCGAGGAAGGCGGGGAUGACGUCAAAUCAGCACGGCCCUUACGUCCGGGGCGACACACGUGUUACAAUGGCAGGUACAGCGGGAUGCCACGGGGCGACCCGGCGCUGAACCCGAAAACCUGUCUCAGUUCGGAUUGGAGUCUGCAACCCGACUCCAUGAAGCUGGAUUCGCUAGUAAUCGCGCAUCAGCCACGGCGCGGUGAAUACGUUCCCGGGCCUUGUACACACCGCCCGUCAAGCCAUGGAAGCCGGGGGUACCUGAAGUGCGUGACCGCGAGGAGCGCCCUAGGGUAAAACCGGUGACUGGGGCUAAGUCGUAACAAGGUAACCGUAA